CCUACGGGAGGCAGCAGUGAGGAAUAUUGGUCAAUGGGCGUAAGCCUGAACCAGCCAAGUCGCGUGAGGGAUGAAGGCUCUAUGGAUUGUAAACUUCUUUUAUAAGGGAAUAAAGUGUGGGACGUGUCCUUUUUUGUAUGUACCUUAUGAAUAAGGAUCGGCUAACUCCGUGCCAGCAGCCGCGGUAAUACGGAGGAUCCGAGCGUUAUCCGGAUUUAUUGGGUUUAAAGGGUGCGUAGGCGGCCUGUUAAGUCAGAGGUGAAAGUCUGUGGGUCAACCAUGGAAUUGCCGUUGAAACUGGUAGGCUUGAGUAUGGUUGAGGCAGGCGGAAUGCGUGGUGUAGCGGUGAAAUGCUUAGAUAUCACGCAGAACCCCGAUUGCGAAGGCAGCCUACCAAGCCAAGACUGACGCUGAUGCACGAAAGCGUGGGGAUCAAACAGGAUUAGAUACCCGAGUAGUC
rnacentral:rRNA from 1 species